GUUGUGUUUAGCUCGCUGAGGCACAGACCCUUAUGUAAACAGCGCCACCAAGAAUAAUGAUGAUGAUAAUAAAAAACAAUAAACGCCCAAACUUCCGCCCGACAAACUGGUUUGAUGCCCGGUAGCCCUCAGCACGUGGGUGUGAGUGUAGCGGCCCUGAACAGCGGGAGUUGUGCAUCUUCAGUGUCAGGGAGGAGGAACGCGGUUUCCUGAACGCCGUGGUAGCAGCAGCGUGGCACCCAGGCUGGGGAACUGCCGCUGGGUGCUGGUGGGAGCUGCCAGCCAAGCAGGGAGAACUGAGGAUGGAGACCGGCCCUUCGCUCUCACCCGGCCCUGCUGUGUCUGAGACUCACACGGUGAAUAACCCCCCUGAGUUAAUGCUGCUGCUCCCCGUGUCUCAGAGCUUUCAUGCAGAAAUAGAUGUUCUAUUUGGCGAGGACAGUAUGACCUUACACAAAAGAGGUCUUGAAGUGCUUACUGUGCUAUGCGAUUGGGUUUAGAAUUUUUGUGCAUUUAGAGCAUAGUUUCUUCAUAGUACAAAUGCUUCUCUCUGGGAGGGUUUUUUUUGUCCCCAUGGAAAAGCAAUGAGGUCGUAAUGAUGCUGGUGGCAACAUCCCUCAUCCCAGCUUGUUGCCAAGAGUCAAGUGUCUCACUGUACGCCUCUGGCAUUGAUUCUCUUUCACCCAAAAGGUAAGUCUCCUGGAGUUAGUUCUGUUUCCCAUUUUACCUUUUAUUUUCUUAUCACCUUCAUUGUGUCAGCAUUGUAAAAAGAAAAAAGAAAAGCCUGUACUAUAUAGACUUCGUAGUUAAACAAGUAACGUGUGAAGCACAUGCACAGUUCCCCUCUGGUGCAUAUAGCACAGCCUUGGCUGGAGGGGAAAGUAAGGCAGCAUGGCAAAGGUUCUUUCAAAGGCUUACCCAUGUCACAGAUACACAUGGAUCACAUUGCUCCUCCAGACGACCGAAGGGCUCUUCUGGAAGGUGGUGGCCUGUCAAUCAAAUGCAAAGGACUGUCCCCAUCAGCAUGAACCACACUGAACAGUGCACAGCAUGACAGACAAGAAAGCUUCCCAGCAAAGAUACAGGUCAAAGACAGGCUGGCUCAAGGCUCCUAGAAACCUCAAGCAAAAACAACCUUCGUGUUGCCACAGAAGAGGCAAAAAGUCAGUCCCCAUGCCAUGGCUGU